rnacentral:RNase_P_RNA from 1 species
GCGGAAGGCUGGAUGACUGCUGUACCCUUCGCGGGGUAGGGAGGAAAGUCCGGACUCCAAUAAGAAACGGUGCCGGGUAACGCCCGGGCGGGGCAACCCGACGGAAAGCGCCACAGAAAAUAGACCGCCUGUCAGUCCAGAGCUUGCUCCGGGUCCCUGUCAGGUAAGGGUGAAACGGUGGGGUAAGAGCCCACCGCGCGGCUGGUAACAGCGGCGGCAUGGCAAGCCCCACUUGGAGCAACGCCAAAUAGGGACCGCGUGCCGUAUCGGCCUUUCGGGGCAGAUCGGCGGAGCCUCUUAUGCUCCAGCAGGUCCGGGUUGGCGGCUGUAGCUGUGUCGGCAACGGCAUGGUCAGAGGAAUGGUCAUCUAUGACGUAUCGCUUGCGGUAUGUCGGGACAAAAUCCGGCUUACAGGCCUUCCGCGCAA